UCCCCGGAUAGAACGAUCCCUAUUUGCUUAUACUACUAACGAUAUUUUAGGGUUAAAUUAUGCGCUUCCUUACAGCGCAUCAGUCAUGCAUUUCAAUCCGGUUAGGUAUCUAAUGCCUUUACCUAAGUGCAUAAAGCUUGGAAUGAAGAAAUUAUCUCUAAGUGAUUGUAGUUCACAACCCUAACAUGUACAUAUGAUAUGCUAUCAUGCUUCAAACAACCAAGGUUAAUCAAGCCUUAAUAAUUUCUCAUGUCAUGGCAAAUAUUUAUACCCAAAUUGAUUAAGUUUAAGCAUCAACAUUCAACUCUUGAACUAGCAUGUUAAGGUGCUAAAGAAAAGUGCAUCAAACAUAGGUAGUUUCUGGAGAAAAACUAGGUUUUCCUAGGUUUUUCUUUGUUGUUGUUUUAGAUUUCUGGGUUUUGUUUGAAGUGGGGAGUGAUCCGCGCUUCACCUAAGUCACAGAUCUAGGCUCAGGCUAACUCUUGCGUUUCUGAUUUCAGAUAGCGAAUUUGAGGCCCGGGUUGACAUAGCUCUAGGAUGGAAUCAAAAACCAAGGCUGGGGAUGUGGGAUAGUUAUAUCAAUCUUCCACGAGAGAAGCGGAAGCAGAUAUUGACCGGUACCUAGCUCGUAGUAGUACCCGUGUGGAGUUAGCAGAGAAUACCGGAUCAUCGACUAGGGUAUUAUCAGAAAGUAGCGAGGAUACAGAUGGAGAUGAAAGUGACGACGCUGCCGGGGAGAUGCAGCUGGUUACAGUAGCUAUUCCCGAGGGUACACCUAAACCUAGGUACGUCUUAGUAGACAGGACCGUGUGCGACGAGCCCGAAAGAAGUAUGACAAUGAAGGAGAUCAUGGCGAUGAGGCUGAAGUGGGGAAUACCGGGCGAGGUAGAACUUAGGCCUCUCAGGGAUGGGGAGUUGGCAGCGAAUCCUCCUCCUGGAUUGGUGGGGUUGCACGAGAACUAGCUCCACCAAGGGCUAUCAUUACCACUGCCCCGGUGCCUAUAGUAUCUCUUGCGGAUGCUGAACCUGUCACCGGGGCAGUUGACUCCGAAUGCCUGGCGGCAAGUGUUGAGUAUGAUGGCCAUGUGGGACUUGUGCCAACAAGGCUGACCUACCAUAAACAAAUUCUGAGCCGUGUACCGAGUCUUAUACUUGAGGAAGCAGUCUUGUCAAUGUACCGUAAUAUUCACCGCCCGGGACUUCGAACCCCUAGUUACCGAUAUGCCCACCUCUCAGAGCAAGAGGUGGAGGAACAAAGUGCUUCUUGUUGGAGGACAUUGGAAUAUUAGGAAUAAGAAAUGGUACCUAAUGGGUACGUUUCAGGCCAUCGGGAACCAGUCUUACUCCUUGUCCGAGGUCGAGAGAAAACGCAUAGCCCGGGUAUACGCUGUGUGGAGUGAAGAAGAAAUGAGCUCAUAUAGGUUCAUCCAGUACUCCAUACUAGAAAGGCUAGGCCUAUGGAGGCUCCCCGUGAAAGUGCUGAAGAGGAAACCCAGGAAAGGUAAGGAAGACGACAAGAUGGAUGACAAUCAACUUAUGGAAAUGUUGAUGAGCCAAGGAGAAGAAGCCUUUCACAUUGACGUUAACUUAGCGUCGAAAGUUACAGGUCUCUCUAUUGACGAAGUUCUUCUAGAGAUCAGUGACCAAGAGUAGGGGAACCAUAAGCCUGAAGCUCCCAUUACCCUCGCCGAGCAGCCUGUUGCUGGGGAGAUGGUGACUGUUGUCGAUACUGGAUGAGAUAAGGCACCUGUGUCUGGCUCCUUUUCUUCCCGGUCAGCCGGAAGCGAGGACGUCUUGCUUCCUUGUGAGAAGAGAAGGCUCCACAAACACCGCCAUCGGAGCCGGGAUAAUGAGGAGGUCACUUACACCGGCUGGGAUGUCAAAGGGGCGGGGCUGAAAAGGCAGAAGAAGAGCUAUCCGGUAUCAGAACCAUAGCCAUCGCUUGCGCUUCUGUCCCUGGGCAUACCGGUAGUCCCCAAGAAGCCUAUCAAGCAGCUGUUGAGCGAGUACGGGGUUGCUGACGAGAAGUUCGUGCGUUCGAUGCUGGCCGACCUAAAAGAUAUCAACCUCGACUGAGUACGAGCGAAGGACAACUCUCCCCAGGAAAAUCGUCUUAUUGCCAGGGAAUCAAUGAUGCGGUGAGGAAGAUACUCACUUGAAGGAAGAAGUUAGCAACCUCUCCGGGCAAGUGAAGUAUCUUCAUGGGGAGAAAGAGCGCGACUCCUUGAAGUAGAUGGUAGAGUCCCUAACUCCCAAGGUAGCCGAGCUGGGGGCGGCCAAGAAGAAGAUCGUGGAUCUUGAGGGUGAACUUUUCGGGGCGAUGAAUAAGCUAGGGAGUGCCCGGGACUCCGAGAGGGAAGCUGCAGAAUCUGCCAAGUCAUGGAAGGAUAGGGCAGAUCAUAUGGAGGAGCGCCUUCCCGUUGAGAAGCAGGAGGCCGUUGCCGGGUACAAAGAUUCUCAAAAGCUUAUGGAUAUGUUACUCGCUGUUAAAGACAAGGCCGUAAUUCUGAAGUAUAAAGAGUGGGUGGCGGCCGGGUACCUGGAUGAAGCCAAAUUCAUGCGGGGACUUCUUGAGAAGAAGAAGAAGGAACAGGAGGCUGCAGCCAAAGCUGGUGCAGGUGGAUCCCAGAGUAAUGCUCCUGAACAGUGGUGUUUAGGAAUUAGUAUAUGUGUAAUUGUCCUCUUUUUAGUAGAAAUUACCCUUGCCUUGAACAAUGGCUUAAUUCUUUUUCCUGGUAGUCCUGGUUUUUUGUGAAUGGGAAUUUGAAAGGAAUUACAAUUUCUAUGA